UACAGAGGUCUCAAGCGUUGUUCGGAUUUAUUGGGCGUAAAGGGUGCGUAGGUGGCCGGGUAAGUCGGAUGUGAAAUCCCGGGGCUCAACCUCGGAACUGCAUUCGAUACUGCUUUGCUGGAGUACUGGAGAGGAGAUUGGAAUUUACGGUGUAGCAGUGAAAUGCGUAGAUAUCGUAAGGAAGACCAGUGGCGAAGGCGGAUCUCUGGACAGUUACUGACACUGAGGCACGAAGGCCAGGGGAGCAAACGGG
rnacentral:rRNA from 1 species